rnacentral:misc_RNA from 1 species
GUAGGUGAACCUGCGGAAGGAUCAUUAAAGAGAUAGGGUUCUUUCGAGCCCGACCUCCAACCCUUUGUCUACCAAACCUCUGUUGCCUCGGUGGGCCGCGGGGCGCCCUCUCACGGGGGUCCCGCCGUCGGCCUCUGUGCUUUCGAGCGCCCACCGCAGGAACCAAACAAAACCUUUUUAAAACAAGUUAAAUCUAAGUGGUAUUUAAUGCUUCAAUUAAAACUUUUAACAACGGAUCUCUUGGCUCUG